AGACCUCCCAAAGGUGGUUCUGGUACUGGGAGGAGAGGUAGGCCCCAGGGUGGGGCAGUCCAGGUAGCCUGAAAGGGAAGCAAGUUCCUGGCACACAGCUGAAGAGACACUCCUGGGGAUCCACCUGGUCGCAAAACCUCCCCCUUGGCUUCCUCCUGUUGUUCACACAGUAGACCCAAAGUUCCAGGGGAUCCAAGGCUGCCCUCUAGCCUCUCCACACACACACAUUGAGAGGGAGAGGGAGAGGGAGAGGGAGAGGGAGAGGGAGAGAGAAGCUAAGGACCUUGAUGAUCCUUGAUGCUCACUCAGCAAUACAUGGCCCUGCUCUGAAGUCCCCAGAACCCUGGAAACCACAGGCUGUCUUCUACCAGACAGCACCCGUCAAAUCCCCAAUCAUCAGAGGACCUGAUGUUGGACAUGCACUUCACCAUAGCCUUUGGUAGAGACUCUUUCUUUGAACCAUUUUGCCUGGUUUUAGGGUCUUCACUGCAGGGUGAAAUUUUGGGGUCCCUAAGGCCCCUGCACCACACUACAAGAACUGGUUUACAUCCUAGUACACUUUUCUCGAACAUACUAACCAUCACACUCCUGCCCCAGGACUGUGGGCAGGGCACUGCUGUGCACCCUGUUGGGCUGUAAGGGCAGUAGAUAGAGCAAGGGUCUCACCAGUCAACCUUCCUGUGAGGAGUGUUUGGAA
rnacentral:lncRNA from 1 species